AGAGGAUCGUGAAACAGAUGGUAUGCCACAAUUAUUUUGGUUUUGAACACCUCUUAAAAUGAAAAAUUUCCAUCAAGCAAUUUGAUGAAAUUUGCUGGUGUGCUUAACUUCCUCAAGUUAAUUAAUACACUGGCACAUGCAGUACCAUGUCAAUGUCAAAGAAAUAUAUAUAUGCUAGUAGGCAUAUAAAAUUCUUCUUAUCUAUUUUGUAAAAAUCUAUGUUCUUACAAUAUAUUGCUAUUAUGGCAGUGGCGAGACCUGGCAUAUCACAC
rnacentral:misc_RNA from 1 species